rnacentral:rRNA from 1 species
GAUGAACGCUAGCUACAGGCUUAACACAUGCAAGUCGAGGGGCAGCACAGUGUAGCAAUACAUGGGUGGCGACCGGCGCACGGGUGCGUAACGCGUAUCCAACCUUCCCGUUACUCAGGGAUAGCCUUCCGAAAGGGAGAUUAAUACCUGAUGGUGUUCAAAUUCCGCAUGUUAUUCGAACUAGAGAUUUAUCGGUAUCGGAUGGGGAUGCGUGACAUUAGAUAGUAGGCGGGGUAACGGCCCACCUAGUCUACGAUGUCUAGGGGUUCUGAGAGGAAGGUCCCCCACACUGGAACUGAGACACGGUCCAGACUCCUACGGGAGGCAGCGGUGAGGAAUAUUGGUCAAUGGUCGGAAGACUGAACCAGCCAAGUAGCGUGAAGGAUGAAGGUUCUAUGGAUUGUAAACUUCUUUUAUACGGGAAUAAAACCUCCCACGUGUGGGAGCUUGUAUGUACCGUAUGAAUAAGCAUCGGCUAACUCCGUGCCAGCAGCCGCCGUAAAAC